rnacentral:rRNA from 1 species
AUGCACGCUGGCGGCGUGCCUAAUACAUGCCAGUCGAGCGAACAGACGAGGAGCUUGCUCCUCUGACGUUAGCGGCGGACGGGUGAGUAACACGUGGAUAACCUACCUAUAAGACUGGGAUAACUUCGGGAAACCGGAGCUAAUACCGGAUAAUAUAUUGAACCGCAUGGUUCAAUAGUGAAAGACGGUUUUGCUGUCACUUAUAGAUGGAUCCGCGCCGCAUUAGCUAGUUGGUAAGGUAACGGCUUACCAAGGCGACGAUGCGUAGCCGACCUGAGAGGGUGAUCGGCCACACUGGAACUGAGACACGGUCCAGACUCCUACGGGAGGCAGCAGUAGGGAAUCUUCCGCAAUGGGCGAAAGCCUGACGGAGCAACGCCGCAUGAGUGAUGAAGGUCUUCGGAUCGUAAAACUCUGUUAUUAGGGAAGAACAAAUGUGUAAGUAACUAUGCACGUCUUGACGGUACCUAAUCAGAAAGCCACGGCUAACUACGUG